GUGUGUGGAUCCCACGGUUUGCCCUCGAUUUAAAACUAACCACCAUUUUAAAACUUAACCUAACGCAAAAAUUUUUCCCCUGUUCACGCAAUAUAAACUGUCCCCUGCACACCAAGCUUCUCUCUUCUCUUCAAUUUGCCGACCCAUCAUCAUCUUCACUCUCUUAUAGUUCUCGAUUCAUUUUUUCUCUCCUUGGGAAAAACCAUUGAACCAAAUCUUUCCGGACUAUGUGAAAGUCUCUACCCGUUUCAAAACUUCUAGCUCAGGUUACUCGUCACUGAAUGAUUCGUCAUCCAACUAGAGUAACCGACCACCAAAGGAACCGAUACUCUUGGAUGGCUGUGACUAUGAGCACUGGCUUAUCGUCAUGGAGAUCCCAACUAACUCAAAACCAGCCAAAGAGGAGAUGAUCAACGCAUACGUCAAAACCCCUUGCUACCGUCGUGGCGAAGAUGAGGCAAAGAAGAAAACGGGAGAGGCAAAGGCGAGGUGAUCUGUUUUUCUGGGCUUUGACUUUUGAUUCUUUGGCUAUUGUUUGGUUGAUGGACUUUAGCAAUGAUGAGGCAAAUAAGUGAUUUUUGUUUCUUGGCUAUUGUUUGGGUGGAUAGACUUUUAGCAAGGAUGAGGCAAAGAAGAAAACGGGAGAGGCAAAGGAGAGGUGACUUUGAGAGUUUGGAUUUUUUUUUUUUUUUUUUUUUCUCAUAAAACGGUUAAUUUUUUUAAUUGACCCGAGUUGGGUUAAUUUUAUCCAUGUAUAAGAGUGUAUCCCAUUGUUUUUGUUAUUUAUUAUUUUUUAGAGUCGGAUUUUAA